rnacentral:rRNA from 1 species
UACGGAGGGUGCGAGCGUUGUCCGGAAUCACUGGGCGUAAAGGGCGCGUAGGCGGCGCGGGAAGUCAUCGGUGAAAGUUCAGGGCUCAACUCUGAAUCGGCCGGUGAUACUCUCGUGCUUGAGCACUGUAGAGGCAGGUGGAAUUCCGGGUGUAGCGGUGGAAUGCGUAGAGAUCCGGAAGAACACCGGUGGCGAAGGCGGCUCACUGGCCCGGUACUGACGCUGAUGUGCGAAAGCGUGGGGAGCAAACAGG